ACGCUCGACACCUACGGGGGGCAGCAGUGGGGAAUAUUGGGCAAUGGGGGCAACCCUGACCCAGCAACGCCGCGUGAAGGAAGAAGGCUUUCGGGUUGUAAACUUCUUUGACAAGGGACGAAAUAAAUGACGGUACCUUGAAAACAAGCCACGGCUAACUACGUGCCAGCAGCAGCGGUAAUCUGAGCGGGCUGGCAAGGC
rnacentral:rRNA from 1 species